GAUGAAGAACGUAGCGAAAUGCGAUAAGUAGUGUGAAUUGCAGAAUUCAGUGAAUCAUCGAAUCUUUGAACGCACAUUGCGCCCCUUGGUAUCCCGAGGGGCAUGCCUGUUCGAGCGUCAUUUCACCACUCAAGCCUGGCUUGGUGUUGGGCGACGUCCUCUUUGGGGACGCGCCUCGAAACGCUCGGCGGCGUGGCACCGGCUUUAAGCGUAGCAGAAUCUUUCGCUUUGGAAGUCGGGGCCCCGUCUGCCGGAAGACCUGCUCGCAAGGUUGACCUCGGAUCAGGCAGGGAUACCCGCUGAACUCAAUCAUAUCAAUAAGCGGAGGA
rnacentral:misc_RNA from 1 species